ACGAACGCUGGCGGCGUGCCUAAUACAUGCAAGUCGAACGGUCUUUCUAUGGAAGCUUGCUUCCACUGAGAAGAUAGUGGCGAACGGGUGAGUAACACGUGGGUAACCUGCCCAUAAGAGGGGGAUAACAUCCGGAAACGGGUGCUAAUACCGCAUAGUUUUCUUGAUCGCAUGAUCGGGAAAGGAAAGACGGCCUUUGUGCUGUCGCUUAUGGAUGGACCCGCGGCGUAUUAGUUAGUUGGUGAGGUAACGGCUCACCAAGACGAUGAUACGUAGCCGACCUGAGAGGGUGAUCGGCCACAUUGGGACUGAGACACGGCCCAAACUCCUACGGGAGGCAGCAGUAGGGAAUCUUCCGCAAUGGACGAAAGUCUGACGGAGCAACGCCGCGUGAGUGAAGAAAGGUUUUCGGAUCGUAAAACUCUGUUGUCAGAGAAGAACAAGUUGGAGAGUAACUGCUCCAGCCUUGACGGUAUCUGACCAGAAAGCCACGGCUAACUACGUGCCAGCCGCAGC
rnacentral:rRNA from 1 species